AUUGAACGCUGGCGGCAGGCCUAACACAUGCAAGUCGAGCGGAUGAAGGGAGCUUGCUCCUGGAUUCAGCGGCGGACGGGUGAGUAAUGCCUAGGAAUCUGCCUGGUAGUGGGGGAUAACGUCCGGAAACGGGCGCUAAUACCGCAUACGUCCUGAGGGAGAAAGUGGGGGAUCUUCGGACCUCACGCUAUCAGAUGAGCCUAGGUCGGAUUAGCUAGUUGGUGGGGUAAAGGCCUACCAAGGCGACGAUCCGUAACUGGUCUGAGAGGAUGAUCAGUCACAAUGGAACUGAGACAAGGUUCAGACUCCUACGGGAGGCAGCAGUGGGGAAUAUUGGACAAUGGGCGAAAGCCUGAUCCAGCCAUGCCGCGUGUGUGAAGAAGGUCUUCGGAUUGUAAAGCACUUUAAGUUGGGAGGAAGGGCAGUAAGUUAAUACCUUGCUGUUUUGACGUUACCAACAGAAUAAGCACCGGCUAACUUCGUG
rnacentral:rRNA from 1 species